GCUCCAGUGGUGCAAUUGGUGAGCACAUGGUACUUAUAAUACCAAGGUUGUGAGUUCAAGCCUCACCUGGAGCA